rnacentral:lncRNA from 1 species
AACAAGUGAGAAAAGGGAAAGGCAAAGGCAAAAGGCUAAGGCAAAGCAUAAAGAGAGAGAUUCCCUGUUAAAAAUUGCGGCUCAUAUCAAACAAGCCUAACAAAGAAGCACUCAGCUUUGCCAGAUUCUCCAUCUAUGCAAUUAACAUGAAGAUUAAGAAAGGAAUCACAAUUCAUCAGAUUAUAUUCAGAAUAUCUCUAUCUUCUAUACUCUUUUUUUUUUUUUUUUUUGUAAAGUAAAUUCUAACCAAGAUUUGGGCAGACUUCGAUUCGAUUACCCAAAAAAAAAGUUUGAUUUCUCAUUAAUUUUACUUGGUCGACAACUCGACAAUGCUGAUAAGUUUUUAUGUUUUACACUCAAUGCCAACCUGCUAUCAGGAAUAAUUUGUUGGAAGAUCGUAUUUACUUUAGAUCUUUAAGUCACAUUCAGAUUCAAUAUUUGUUCA